rnacentral:lncRNA from 1 species
UUUUUUUCUUUUUCUUCCUUUCUUUCACUUUACUUUCAUGGCUACUUUUCUUACUUUCAGAGGGUGUUUCUCCAUUGGACUGUGGCCUAUGACCUGGAUUUUGUGCUCAGGCUGCAUUGCCGUUUGUAUGGAGGUUCCUCACUUGGCUCGGUCUAUGUUCCACAUUCUUUGGCCCUUCCCUUACCAUUACUACACCCUACAACUUCCCCUCACUCAUUCCAUAUCAUCUACACUCACAAUUCCAUUACUAAUCACUUCCAGUAGUGUUGCCCACACUUAUCUCUAGAUGCCCGUAUUACAUCUUUCAUUCUUUCACCAUCAUUCACACCUCUGUUUGAGGUCACAUUUAC